UGCAAGUCGAACGCACUGACGUCGACCGAAGCUGCUUGCAGUGGACGUUGAUUGACGUGAGUGGCGGACGGGUGAGUAACACGUGGGUAACCUACCCUUAAGUGGGGGAUAACAUUUGGAAACAGAUGCUAAUACCGCAUAACCAUUCAGACCACAUGGUCUGAAUGUAAAAGACGGCCUUUGGCUGUCACUUUUGGACGGACCCGCGGCGUAUUAGUUAGUUGGUAAGGUAACGGCUUACCAAGACAAUGAUACGUAGCCGACCUGAGAGGGUAAUCGGCCACAUUGGGACUGAGACACGGCCCAAACUCCUACGGGAGGCAGCAGUAGGGAAUCUUCCACAAUGGACGAAAGUCUGAUGGAGCAACGCCGCGUGAGUGAAGAAGGUUUUAGGAUCGUAAAACUCUGUUGUUGGAGAAGAACAGGGACUAGAGUAACUGUUAGUCCUUUGACGGUAUCCAACCAGAAAGCCACGGCUAACUACGUGCCAGCAGCCGCGGUAAUACGUAGGUGGCAAGCGUUGUCCGGAUUUAUUGGGCGUAAAGCGAGCGCAGGCGGUUUUUUAAGUCUGAUGUGAAAGCCUUCGGCUUAACCGAAGAAGUGCAUUAGAAACUGGAAAACUUGAGUGCAGAAGAGGACAGUGGAACUCCAUGUGUAGCGGUGAAAUGCGUAGAUAUAUGGAAGAACACCAGUGGCGAAGGCGGCUGUCUGGUCUGUAACUGACGCUGAG
rnacentral:rRNA from 1 species